UGGUAACACCUGUGGGGCAUUCCUUUUUGAACAGUACCCCUUCCCUUGAUGUCUACAGUAUCACCUUUCUUAUAGAUUAGCAUAUAUGUGGCCAAAGGAACAACUCCAUGUUUUUGCAAAGGCCUAGAGAACAUAUAUCCAGUGCCUUUCCUUUUUGCCUUUGUAUUUAUCAUUUUGGCAAAUUACUGGAAGAUGACGGUUCUGGCCAAAAGGCUGGUUUUGUUUUUGGGUCACAUUUUCUUGCUUCUCUGUGUUAGAAUCUUGGAUUAGAUGAUGGACAUGGUGAAGAUGGAAAAUAUGAGGUGCAGAGAAGUGAUGGAAAAAAGAGAUCAGGAUUUCAGUUUUUUUCUGCAUUUCUCAUCAUCCCAUGAAGUCUCUUGAUAACAUAAGCCAAGUUUUCAUAUACCUUGACGUGUGUGAUACUUACAUGGUGCCAAGAACAAGAUGCCUACUCAAUAAAUAUUCAUCACUAUAGGCAAAAGCGGGCACAGAUGGAAAAUAAAAUUAUUUGAAGAGUCUUGCUCUGUCACACAGGCUGGAGCAUAGUGGCAUGAUCUCAGCUCAUUGCAACCUCUGCCUCCUGGGUUCAAGCAAUCCUCCUACCUCAGCCUCCUGAGUAGCUUGGACCACAGGAGACAAAAUCCUGCUAGAGAGAAGGGGCCUGCUUCAAGCACAUAACUGGAUUCUACCUCAAGACAAUCUGCCACAUUUGAAGCUUGGAAUCUUCAAAGAGCAGAAUAGA
rnacentral:antisense_RNA from 1 species